rnacentral:lncRNA from 1 species
CCCCAGCUUAAUAAUUGACCUCUCGACCCAUAGUAAUGAAUAAGACCAGUUUGUAGUACACUGUCAUUUUAUGUUUAAACCUAGUAUAAUAACUAGUUUCGAAAAGGCAAUGGUGAGGCAGAGACAUGGAUUAGUCAUUUUGUUAUGUCUUUUUUAUUUGUAUAGCUUUUCAACUAUUACGGUUCUUACAUAUCAUUGGCUUUUAAAAAUCGACUUUGAGCGUUUCUGCAUGAUGAAGGAAAGUCAAGAAAAACGUUGCAGACGCAUGAAACUAAUGACUUAUUC